GUGUAUUGAAGUAGCUGCUUAUAAGAUGUAGAUUGAAAAAAAAAAAUGAAAUUCAUAAUUGGUUGAGCAGAACUUUGAAUCUGCGUCGUUUGGCUUUUCUGAGAAUUAAUCAAAAGAAGCUUCAACCCAUAUUCUCAUCCUCUUUCACUUUUCAAUUUCAAUUUCUGUUUCAGUUUUAAUUUCAAUUUGGUUCAUCAAUCUAUCAAUUCCCAUCCUCAUGUCCGACGGAUAUUGGAGAUACGCCGCCGAAUCGCGGCAUGCCCCUUCCUCUAUCGCCGGCAAGCGCUCUCGUUCCGACUACGAUGUCUCUGGUGUUCAUGACUUGCCCAAUUACUUUCCCCAUGAUGAUGAUAGAGGAGGGCUACGAGUAGUUAGAGAUGCUGAGUCCCUUGAUGCAUCUUAUGAGAGUUACCUCCGUAGUGCGAUUUCAUAUGGUUCGGGACAGUCCACUAGAACCAUUGGAGGGCGAGUUCCCAAUCGUACUAUUGACGAUUCAAAUGUUGCAAAUAUUGGGGGAGUAGACAGGGGAACAGAUGUAAAAGACAAAAUCCUGGGGUUUAGUAGUGGAAGGGCUGACCAUUCUCUUCCACCUGAUGCUACCAGUACACUGUUUGUUGAGGGUUUGCCUUCUAACUGCACAAGACGGGAAGUAGCUCGUACAGAUAUAUUUCGUCCUUUUGUUGGCUACAAAGAAGUUAGGCUUGUUAGCAAGGAGUCAAGACAACCAAGGGGUGAUCCAAUGGUACUUUGUUUUGUCGAUUUUUUGAGUCCGGGUCAUGCAGCAACUGCCAUGGAAGCAUUGCAGGGUUACAAAUUUGACGAACUUGACCGCAACUCGGUCAAUUUAAGGUUUCAAUUUGCUCGCCGCUAUCCUGGUGCGAGGUCAGGUGGCAUACAUCGUGGCAAACGUUGAAUUAUGCAAUUACAGGAUUCACUCACGAUGGGGAGGUUAUGAUUAUGAUUUUGAGAGGCAAGUGACCAACAUUGCAGUCGAGAAUUACAGUUGCUUUCAUUAGCAACAAGUCGAUCAUUGUCGUAUUCGUGUGGGGAGUGCUCGCUAGAGAUUCAGAUUGUGCGUGUUUGAGAAAAAUUGUUUAAUUUAUUUACUAUAAAUUGCUUCAAAUUGUCUUAUGCGAAAUAACUUAUGACUUCGAUGGCUUUUCAUUGCUCUGUCGAAUAUAUUUGUCUACUAAUAAGAGGGAUGCUUCCAUGCACGGGUUCUACUUUCUUGUGAGCCUUUAAGAUAUCAGGAUAUUUACCUGGAACAGCAGAAAAAAGAGCAAGAUUUGGUUUGUAUUGUUUGUAUGGUAUGAUAAUUAUUUGUUAUAGAUUCUCUAUUGAAGUAAUGGUAGUUAGGACAGGUAAGGUUGAUUUGGAGCUUCUUCCAUUCGAAUUCCCUUCUGUAUGAGUUCUUCUUAGACCUCCAGCAAUCUGAAAUGUUAGUUAUGGUUUGGUUGCACAAA